rnacentral:rRNA from 1 species
UACGGGAGGCAGCAGUGGGGAAUAUUGCACAAUGGGCGCAAGCCUGAUGCAGCCAUGCCGCGUGUAUGAAGAAGGCCUUCGGGUUGUAAAGUACUUUCAGUCGUGAGGAAGGUGUUAAGGUUAAUAACCUUAGCAAUUGACGUUAGCGACAGAAGAAGCACCGGCUAACUCCGUGCCAGCAGCCGCGGUAAUACGGAGGGUGCGAGCGUUAAUCGGAAUUACUGGGCGUAAAGGGCACGCAGGCGGUUAAUUAAGUUGGAUGUGAAAUCCCCGGGCUUAACCUGGGAAUGGCAUUCAAGACUGGUUAGCUAGAGUCUUGUAGAGGGGGUAGAAUUCCAUGUGUAGCGGUGAAAUGCGUAGAGAUGUGGGGGAAUACCGGUGGCGAAGGCGGCCCCCUGGACAAAGACUGACGCUCAUGUGCGAAAGCGUGGGGAGCAAACAGGGAUUAGAUACC